ensembl:lncRNA
CUUUCGGAAUCAAGGAAGAGAUCGGUGUGCUCAUUCUUCCUACCUCUGUGCACCACGGUCCCGGGAGGACCUGGGCCCGAGGUGGGCCGCGGAGGUGGCCUAAACCCGCCGGCCGACCUAGCCCCCAGGUCCAGCCUCCGUCUGAGCUCCUCCGUGGCCCUCAGCAUUCUAUACGUUCCUGCCCCCACUUCCCAGUUCUGUCCCGAACCUCCAGCGGUACUUCUCCCUACAGGAACAUCGGUGACCUGGCAGAAGACUGCGAGGCAAAUCAUCCAUGGGGGCCUGGUUAAUAAGGUGGGAGUCCAUGUCUGUCCAGAGUGCUCAGCAGUGAAGCAGAGGUGGUGAGUUGAUGGGAACGCAUGUGUUUCACUCUCACACCUGUUGGUGUUAGGAACGGAAACCAGACCCGGGUGAGUCAGAACAGGGCAUUAAUCAUCGUCCAAAACAGGACGCCUGCUCCCAAGGAAUAGGAGGAUAGAGCUCCCUUGAGAUCCUAUACUUUGCUUUCGCCACUGAGGCACUCUGAGAUCCAGAAACAUCUGCCCUUCAGGCAUAUGCCAUCUCACUGGCACAUUUCCAGAAUGAGGCUAAAACCCGGGACAACCAAAGGUGGAAAGGUGAUACACCUCUAUAUGCCUCAGGACCUCAGGCCCUAAUCACAUACUGGAAGGAGGGAUCCCCUCCUCCCAACUGCAGCCCCCUUGGAAAGGGCCAUAACCGGUCACCUCUCCACCCCUACAUUGGUCUGUGUUUCUGGACCGGAAAGCUGGAUAGACCACUCCCCAGCUAAGGCGAGCUCCAGGAGAGACCAGUGGGAUUCCCCACUACACCUGCGAGCCACUUGGAGACUUCCGCUAGCCCUUAAGCCUCGGCUAAGUAGACAUGUCCCUCGUGAUCGGCAGUAGACCAGGCCUAGUCUCUGGACCCACCCCUGGGAAUGGGGACCAGUCUCCUAGCAACACUUAGACCCUCGCAAACCAUACCUGCUACCCAACUGAACACUCACAGUUGGUAUGUCCAGCCCGUCCCUGGACAUUCUGGGCCACUGUUCCAGCCCAACUAGUUGCCAAAAUCCGACAAACGCCCCUGGCAGAGGAGUGGCAUUUGGGGCAAGGGGAGAACAUUUUUUUGCCCUUGGUGUCAACAGUUGGUGGCAUUAAAAGCCAAAGCCUCUGCUUUUUCUCCCAAGUGAGUUUUUUCCCAGCUGACUAACUUGCCCCAGGAAACCUUCCCCAUUUGCGCUGAGAAAAGUGGGCCUGGGAAGCAUGCAGAGGUCUGGGUACGGGGUAACCUUGGCCAUCAGGACCAGGAAGCACAGGGCCAUGGAGGGUCUGUCAACUUGAACUGAGGCCCUGUGACGCUCCCAAAGCUGACACUAUCUGGCUGUCUUCGCUUAAGCUUUCCUCUAAUGCCGUCAGCCUGUCCUCGAGCACUCUCUUGUUUGGGACGACGCAAGAAUCACAGUGUCCUGGCUCCUCAGCCAGACAAGGUCACCACCCCAACAACCUAACCUUGCGGUGGGAACCCAAAUGAAAGGCCCUCUACCCUGAAGAUCGGGCCCGAAACGCCUCCUGACACAUAAAUCCAUUCCCGAGUAGCCUCGCAGCUGCAGGCUUCGCUGCCAAGAGGAUGAGUCUCACCAAAAUCUCAAGGGCUUUAUCCGCUUUCUCAUCAAGGACCUGUGCCCUGGGGGACGGGACUAUCUAAAGGAAAAAUGCUGGACUUCCUGUCCUGGCUCAGCGGUUAGUGAAUCCGACUAGGAACCAUGAGGUUGCGGGUUCAAUCCCUGGCCUCACUCAGUGGGUUAGGGAUCCAGUGUUGCCAUGAGCUGUGAUGUAGGUCACAGAUGCGGCUCAGAUCCCGCGUUGCUGUGGCUGUGGUGGAGGUCGGCGGCUACAGCUCCAGUUGGACCCCUAGCCUGGGAAAUAGGCCGCAUGUGCAGCCCUUAAAAAGGCAAAAUUAGAAAUAAAUAAAAACAAAGGAAAAAUGCUGCUUCUGCUAUAAUCAGUCAGGGCUGGUCCAGGAGUGCAUCAAGGGCACUGGCAUCCUGGGGUUUCCCACCCCGUGGCCUGGCUCCAUCAGUUCCAGACCAAGGAUACUAGUCACCCCUAGAUGGCUGUUGUUCAGUGUCUGAGUGUAGCAAGAGUCGGGGUGCCCCAUGCUACCAGGAAGUAGCUAGGUCACUUGUCGCCCAAGUUCCCCAAAGAAUUGGGUCCCCUGGAGUUCCUAGAAUCCGACUAGGAGCCAUGAGGUUGCGGGUUGGAUCCCUGGCCUCACUCAGUGGGUUAGGGAUCCGGCGUUGCCGUGAGCUGUGGUGUAGGUCGCAGACGCAGCUUGGAUCCCGCGUGGCUGUGGCUGUAGGCUGGUGGCUACAACUCUGAUUAGACCCCUAGCCUGGGAACCUCCAUAUGCCACGGGCAGGGUCCUAAAAAGAUAAGAAGAAAAAAAAAAAAGAAUUGGGUCCCCAAGCUCUUGAGGGAGGAGCGUGUCAGGUGGAAUCAGCCCUAGGGAUCUGGUCAUUCAGCAAAGGCAGGAAGCCUAUGGUUACAUAGGUGCGAGGUGAGGGGCCUUCUGGGAAACUUGCCCGCGACCCACUCCCCAGGCAGAUGGGGCGUCCUGCCAGAAGAUCCAAUAGGCCCCACGCAGAUGAGGCCUGCGCGGGAGCGAGGGGAUGCAGAGGAAGCCUGGGGCCUGCGCUCUCACGAGGCCAAACUUUCUCUUCAAUAAACACGAUUACACUUUCUGA